UAAGGAAUAUUGGUCAAUGGGCGAAAGCCUGAACCAGCCAUUCCGCGUGCAGGAUGACUGCCCUAUGGGUUGUAAACUGCUUUUAACUGGGAAGAAACCCCUGAACUUGUUCGGGGCUGACGGUACCAGAGGAAUAAGCACCGGCUAACUCCGUGCCAGCAGCCGCGGUAAUACGGAGGGUGCAAGCGUUAUCCGGAAUCACUGGGUUUAAAGGGUGCGUAGGCGGCUUAGUAAGUCAGAGGUGAAAGUUCUGGGCUUAACCGAGGAAUUGCCUUUGAUACUGCUGAGCUUGAAGGGAGAUGAGGCAGGCGGAAUGUGACAUGUAGCGGUGAAAUGCAUAGAUAUGUCAUAGAACACCAAUUGCGAAGGCAGCUUGCUGGUCUUCUCUUGACGCUGAGGCACGAAAGCGUGGGGAGCGAACAGG
rnacentral:rRNA from 1 species